UACAAGUCAGAAGUGCUUGUGAGUUCCAGU
rnacentral:piRNA from 1 species